rnacentral:rRNA from 1 species
UACGAAGGGGGCUAGCGUUGCUCGGAUUGACUGGGCGUAAAGCGCGCGUAGGCGGCCCGGUAAGUCCGUUGUGAAAGUCAAAGGCUCAACCUUUGAAUGCCGAUGGAUACUGCCGGGCUAGAGUCCGGAAGAGGCGAGUGGAAUUCCUGGUGUAGCGGUGGAAUGCGCAGAUAUCAGGAGGAACACCGAUAGCGAAGGCAGCUCGCUGGGACGGUACUGACGCUGAGGCGCGAAAGCGUGGGGAGCGAACAGG